rnacentral:rRNA from 1 species
UUAAGCGACCAAGCGUACACGGUGGAUGCCCUGGCAGUCAGAGGCGAUGAAGGACGUGCUAAUCUGCGAAAAGCGCCGGUAAGGUGAUAUGAACCGUUAUAACCGGCGAUGUCCGAAUGGGGAAACCCAGUGUGACUCGUCACACUAUCAUUAACUGAAUCCAUAGGUUAAUGAGGCGAACCGGGGGAACUGAAACAUCUAAGUACCCCGAGGAAAAGAAAUCAACCGAGAUUCCCCCAGUAGCGGCGAGCGAACGGGGAGGAGCCCAGAGCCUGAAUCAGCAUGUGUGUUAGUGGAAGCGUCUGGAAAGGCGCGCGAUACAGGGUGACAGCCCCGUACACAAAAGCGCAUGUGCUGUGAGCUCGAUGAGUAGGGCGGGACACGUGGUAUCCUGUCUGAAUAUGGGGGGACCAUCCUCCAAGGCUAAAUACUCCUGACUGACCGAUAGUGAACCAGUACCGUGAGGGAAAGGCGAAAAGAACCCCGGCGAGGGGAGUGAAACAGAACCUGAAACCGUGUACGUACAAGCAGUGGGAGCCCCACCACUAAGCCAGUGGUGAACUCCACAUACGCAUCCUUUGCGGAAGAUACGGUUAACGGAGCGAAAGCGACGUUCAACCGCAAAAGAAGCAGAGGGGGCUUAGUGGUGGGGUGACUGCGUACCUUUUGUAUAAUGGGUCAGCGACUUAUAUUCUGUAGCAAGGUUAACCGUAUAGGGGAGCCGGAGGGAAACCGAGUCUUAACCGGGCGUUAAGUUGCAGGGUAUAGACCCGAAACCCGGUGAUCUAGCCAUGGGCAGGUUGAAGGUUGGGUAACACUAACUGGAGGACCGAACCGACUAAUGUUGAAAAAUUAGCGGAUGACCUGUGGCUGGGGGUGAAAGGCCAAUCAAACCGGGGAGAUAGCUGGUUCUCCCCGAAAGCUAUUUAGGUAGCGCCUCGUGAAUUCAUCUCCGGGGGUAGAGCACUGUUUCGGCCAGGGGCCAUCCCGGCUUACCAACCCGAUGCAAACUGCGAAUACCGGAGAAUGUUAUCACGGGAGACACACGGCGGGUGCUAACGUCCGUCGUGAAGAGGGAAACAACCCAGACCGCCAGCUAAGGUCCCAAAGUCAUGGUUAAGUGGGAAACGAUGUGGGAAGGCCCAGACAGCCAGGAUGUUGGCUUAGAAGCAGCCAUCAUUUAAAGAAAGCGUAAUAGCUCACUGGUCGAGUCGGCCUGCGCGGAAGAUGUAACGGGGCUAAACCAUGCACCGAAGCUGCGGCAGCGACACUGUGUGUUGUUGGGUAGGGGAGCGUUCUGUAAGCCUGCGAAGGUGUGCUGUGAGGCAUGCUGGAGGUAUCAGAAGUGCGAAUGCUGACAUAAGUAACGAUAAUGCGGUGAAAAACCCGCACGCCGGAAGACCAAGGGUUCCUGUCCAACGUUAAUCGGGGCAGGGUGAGUCGACCCCUAAGGCGAGGCCGAAAGGCGUAGUCGAUGGGAAACGGGUUAAUAUUCCCGUACCUGGUGUUACUGCGAAGGGGGGACGGAGAAGGCUAUGUUGGCCGGGCGACGGUUGUCCCGGUUUAAGCGUGUAGGUGUGUGUUCCAGGAAAAUCCGGUUCACUUUAACACUGAGGCGUGACGACGAGGCACUACGGUGCUGAAGCAACAAAUGCCCUGCUUCCAGGAAAAGCCUCUAAGCCUCAGGUAACAUCAGAUCGUACCCGAAACCGACACAGGUGGUCAGGUAGAGAAUACCAAGGCGCUUGAGAGAACCCGGGUGAAGGAACUAGGCAAAAUGGUGCCGUAACUUCGGGAGAAGGCACGCUGACAUGUAGGUGAAGCGGUUUACCCGUGGAGCUGAAGUCAGUCGAAGAUACCAGCUGGCUGCAACUGUUUAUUAAAAACACAGCACUGUGCAAACACGAAAGUGGACGUAUACGGUGUGACGCCUGCCCGGUGCCGGAAGGUUAAUUGAUGGGGUCAGCGCAAGCGAAGCUCCUGAUCGAAGCCCCGGUAAACGGCGGCCGUAACUAUAACGGUCCUAAGGUAGCGAAAUUCCUUGUCGGGUAAGUUCCGACCUGCACGAAUGGCGUAAUGAUGGCCAGGCUGUCUCCACCCCGGGACUCAGUGAAAUUGAACUCGCUGUGAAGAUGCAGUGUACCCGCGGCAAGACGGAAAGACCCCGUGAACCUUUACUAUAGCUUGACACUGAACACUGGUCCUUGAUGUGCAGGAUAGGUGGGAGGCUUUGAAGUGUGGACGCCAGUCUGCAUGGAGCCGUCCUUGAAAUACCACCCUUUAAUGGCUGGUGUUCUAACGUAGACCCGUGAACCGGGUUGCGGACAGUGUCUGGUGGGUAGUUUGACUGGGGCGGUCUCCUCCUAAAGCGUAACGGAGGAGCACGAAGGUUGGCUAAUCCUGGUCGGACAUCAGGAGGUUAGUGCAAUGGCAUAAGCCAGCUUGACUGCGAGCGUGACGGCGCGAGCAGGUGCGAAAGCAGGUCAUAGUGAUCCGGUGGUUCUGAAUGGAAGGGCCAUCGCUCAACGGAUAAAAGGUACUCCGGGGAUAACAGGCUGAUACCGCCCAAGAGUUCAUAUCGACGGCGGUGUUUGGCACCUCGAUGUCGGCUCAUCACAUCCUGGGGCUGAAGUAGGUCCCAAGGGUAUGGCUGUUCGCCAUUUAAAGUGGUACGCGAGCUGGGUUUAGAACGUCGUGAGACAGUUCGGUCCCUAUCUGCCGUGGGCGCUGGAGAACUGAGGGGGGCUGCUCCUAGUACGAGAGGACCGGAGUGGACGCAUCACUGGUGUUCGGGUUGUCAUGCCAAUGGCACUGCCCGGUAGCUAAAUGCGGAAGAGAUAAGUGCUGAAAGCAUCUAAGCACGAAACUUGCCCUGAGAUGAGUUCUCCCUGAGACUACAAGUCUCCUGAAGGAACGUUGAAGACGACGACGUUGAUAGGCCGGGUGUGUAAGCGCAGCGAUGCGUUGAGCUAACCGGUACUAAUGAACCGUGAGGCUUAACCUU